UACAGAGGGUGCGAGCGUUGUUCGGAAUUAUUGGGCGUAAAGAGCGCGUAGGCGGUCUGCUAAGUCUGGUGUGAAAGCCCUCGGCUUAACCGGGGAAGUGCAUUGGAUACUGGCAGGCUUGAGUGUGAGAGAGGAUCGUGGAAUUCCUGGUGUAGCGGUGAAAUGCGUAGAUAUCAGGAGGAACACCGGUGGCGAAGGCGGCGAUCUGGAUCAUAACUGACGCUGAGGCGCGAAAGCGUGGGUAGCAAACAGG
rnacentral:ncRNA from 2 species